UACGGAGGGAGCAAGCGUUACUCGGAAUUAUUAGGCGUAAAGGGCGCGUAGGCGAUUUGAAAAGUCUUGUGUGAAAGCCCCGAGCUUAACUCGGGAAGUGCACAAGAAACUGUUGAAUUUGAGUUCCGGAGAGGAAGGCAGAAUUCCCGGUGUAGCGGUGAAAUGCGUAGAUAUCGGGAGGAAUACCAGUGGCGAAGGCGGCCUUCUGGACGGAUACUGACGCUGAGGCGCGAAAGCCAGGGGAGCAAACGGG
rnacentral:rRNA from 1 species